rnacentral:lncRNA from 1 species
GGCUCACUGCAACCUCCGCCUCCCAGGUUCAAGCAAUUCUCCUGCCUUAGCCUCCUGAGUAGCUGGGAUUACAGGCGCCCGCCACCACGCCCGGCUAAUUUUUUGUAUUUUUAGUAGAGACAGGGCUUCACCGUGUUAGCCAGGAUGGUCUCGAUCUCCUGACCUCGUGAUCCGCCCGCCUCGGCCUCCCAAAGCGCUGGGAUUACAGACGUGAGC